rnacentral:rRNA from 1 species
GAUGAACGCUGGCGGCGUGCCUAAUACAUGCAAGUCGAGCGAACAGACGCGGAGCUUGCUCCUUUGACGUUAGCGGCGGACGGGUGAGUAACACGUGGGUAACCUCCCUAUAAGACUGGGAUAACUUCGGGACACCGGAGCUAAUACCGGAUAAUAUUUCGAACCGCAUGGUUCGAUAGUGAAAGAUGGCUUUGCUAUCACUUAUAGAUGGACCUGCGCCGUAUUAGCUAGUUGGUAAGGUAACGGCUUACCAAGGCAACGAUACGUAGCCGACCUGAGAGGGGGAUCGGCCACACGGGAGCUGAGACACGGUCAAGACUCCUACGGGAGGCAGCAGAAGGGAAUCGGCCGCAAUGGGCGAAAGCCUGACGGAGCAACGCCGAGCGAGUGAUGAAGGUCUUCGGAGCGUAAAACACUGUUAUGAGUGAAGAACAAACUUGUAAGUAACCGUGCAGGGCGUGACGGUAACUAAUCAGAAAGCCACGGCUAACUACGUG